UACGUAGGGAGCAAGCGUUGUUCGGAUUUACUGGGCGUAAAGGGCGCGUAGGCUGCAAAUUAAGUCAGCUGUGAAAUCUCCGAGCUUAACUCGGAACGGUCAGCUGAUACUGAUCUGCUAGAGUGCGGAAGGGGCAAUCGGAAUUCUUGGUGUAGCGGUGAAAUGCGUAGAUAUCAAGAGGAACACCUGAGGUGAAGACGGGUUGCUGGGCCGACACUGACGCUGAGUGCGCGAAAGCCAGGGGAGCAAACGGG
rnacentral:rRNA from 1 species